UAUCAUAUCAUCCGUACACCUACAAACACAAACGCAUAUAAAUGCAUAUAUACACAAUACAUAUAAAUUUUAGUAUAGAAUAGCAGAACAUAAAGCACGGCACACAUGAACGUAUUGCUCUAAUUUGCAAGCAAAUUCGAGGUAGUAUUCUGCUAUCGUCUGUCGUUGUUAACACUUGUCGCCGUCGUUGCCGUCGUCGUGGUCGUGUAGAUUAUGUUCAAAUAGUUUAAUGUGUUGUUAAAAACGUAAAAUAAUAGUGUUGUGUCGAAGCCUAGAAAAUUUCUAAAUCUCAAGACAAUCAGCUGUUCUAAAAGUGGUGUUGUUUAAAGAAGAAGAUUGUUACAGUCAAAGGCAACCACGGGAAAAACAAGUAUAUUGCAUAAUUAGCAAUUCCAUAGAAAAGUCACAAGUCACAACGCUGACCCUGCACACACCUAAUUAGAAGAAAAAAGAAAACCGUUACCAAAGAGGAAAAAACAAAAAAAAAAAAAAAAAAAAAAAAAAAAAA